rnacentral:rRNA from 1 species
GGGGAAUUUUGGACAAUGGGCGCAAGCCUGAUCCAGCAAUGCCGCGUGAGUGAAGAAGGCCUUCGGGUUGUAAAGCUCUUUCAGUCGAGAAGAAAAGAUUACUGAUAAUACCAGUAAUCCAUGACGGUAUCGACAGAAGAAGCACCGGCUAACUACGUGCCAGCAGCCGCGGUAAUACGUAGGGUGCGAGCGUUAAUCGGAAUUACUGGGCGUAAAGGGUGCGCAGGCGGUUAUGUAAGUCAGAUGUGAAAUCCCCGGGCUUAACCUGGGAACUGCGUUUGAAACUACAGGACUAGAGUGUGGCAGAGGGGGGUGGAAUUCCAUGUGUAGCAGUGAAAUGCGUAGAGAUAUGGAAGAACAUCGAUGGCGAAGGCAGCCCCCUGGGUUAACACUGACGCUCAUGCACGAAAGCGUGGGGAGCAAAC